UUAAAGCGGCACUCCGAUGUGUGUGGGAGGCUUGGAUGACCAGCGGUGAGAAAUCUUUCACAAAAACGGGCCGCAUGCGAAAAUCAUCCUUUUGUGUGGUCUGCCAGUGGAUCUUAAAAGCGUGGAACAGUGUGAAAGAAUCUACGAUCCCCAACGGAUUUCGAAAGGCUGGACUGCUACGUGAGGAGAACAGCACAACUUCAGCGGGAACUGUGUCGAGAUGAAAAUGACAUUGAGAGAGACACCGACAGAGACUGAAAUGGUGUGUGACGGAGAUGUUCUGAGGCUGUUCAACUCUCACACUGAAGAAGACAACUUCAGUGGUUUCAGUGAAAAGGAGGAGGAUGAAUAAAAACUGACUUUUCUGUUAUGUUUGGGCUGUUUUACUGCCGUGUUCCAGGCACUGGUUGGAAACAAUUUAGGGAUGCUCUGCCUCAGCAUGUCAUUGGAGAAGGACGGCAGGCUGAAGAGCGACUGCAGAAUGGCAUUCAUAUAGCAAGUGUUGCCCAAAUUUGAAAAUCUGUCAACGAUUUACACAUCGGACAGCACUGUCAGAAAAACACACCAGCAAGGGUGGCCUCUGAUUGCCAAGAAACUAAAGUGUUACCCUUGCAGAGGAGGCUGCGACUGGGCUGGAGUGGAGGGUCUCUGCUUGUUCCAACCACCAUAAUCCACAGAGGGCCGUACUUUCUUGAAAGGAGUGGAGUGAUUGGGCAGCAGAAGGCUGCGUUUGGCUGUGGGCGUGAGGGAUGUACUCGA